rnacentral:rRNA from 1 species
AUUGAACGCUCGCGGGAUGCCUUACACAUGCAAGUCGAACGGCAGCACGGACUUCGGUCUGGUGGCGAGUGGCGAACGGGUGAGUAAUGUAUCGGAACGUGCCCAGUAGCGGGGGAUAACUACGCGAAAGCGUAGCUAAUACCGCAUACGCCCUACGGGGGAAAGCAGGGGAUCUUCGGACCUUGCACUAUUGGAGCGGCCGAUAUCGGAUUAGCUAGUUGGUGGGGUAACGGCCUACCAAGGCGACGAUCCGUAGCUGGUUUGAGAGGACGACCAGCCA